GAUGAACGCUGGCGGCGUGCCUAAUACAUGCAAGUCGAGCGAACAGACGAGGAGCUUGCUCCUCUGACGUUAGCGGCGGACGGGUGAGUAACACGUGGAUAACCUACCUAUAAGACUGGGAUAACUUCGGGAAACCGGAGCUAAUACCGGAUAAUAUAUUGAACCGCAUGGUUCAAUAGUGAAAGACGGUUUUGCUGUCACUUAUAGAUGGAUCCGCGCCGCAUUAGCUAGUUGGUAAGGUAACGGCUUACCAAGGCAACGAUGCGUAGCCGACCUGAGAGGGUGAUCGGCCACACUGGAACUGAGACACGGUCCAGACUCCUACGGGAGGCAGCAGUAGGGAAUCUUCCGCAAUGGGCGAAAGCCUGACGGAGCAACGUCGCGUGAGUGAUGAAGGUCUUCGGAUCGUAAAACUCUGUUAUUAGGGAAGAACAAAUGUGUAAGUAACUAUGCACGUCUUGACGGUACCUAAGCAGAAAGCCACGGCUAACUACGU
rnacentral:rRNA from 1 species